GAGUCGCUGUAAUUAAAGCUCGGGAAGUUAUGGAGCGAAAGGAUACGGUAAAAAAGAAAUAAACAAGGAAACGGGAGAAAAACUGUGUUGCUAUGAGCUGAAAGGUUUUAUAAAAAAACUGUGCACGUCGGAAAACACAAAUGUGAACGUCCCAGUCCCGUGUUUGCAGUAAAUGGGGAUUUGCCUCAGCGGCUGCAGGCCUGAGUGAGCGCCGCCAUCUUUAUUCGGGUCAACGAUUCACUGGACACGUGCGGAGCCGCCAUCUUUGUAGGGGGCAAGGUGCAGCCAGGCGCAUGUGCAGCCUCUCUCUGGUACAGAGUCAUUGUGAUGACAGCAGCCAAUCCUGCUCUGAUUCACCUCUGGGCUCCCUCAGGACCACUUUGUCAAUGUCUAGCUUCAUCAGUCUCCAACCAUGGGGAUCCCAGUGAUUAAUGCCAAAGCCCUGUUGCCUGGGGAGAGGGUGAUGUUUGACUUUCUUGUACAGCUGCAGUUUGUGUGGUGAAGGUGCUCCCACAAUGUGGUUGGAUCCCAGUGAUUAAUGCCAAAGCCCCAUUGCCUGGGGAGAGGGUGAUGUUUGACUUCCUUGUACAGCUGCAGUUUGUGUGGUGAAGGUGCUCCCACAAUGUGGUUGGGUGGACAUUCAGAUGGUAACCUUAGUCAUUGUAACACCAAACUCUGACAGAAUUACUCAAUUCAUCAGGACCUGGAUAUUUGCAUUUAGUUCAGAAGCAGCCGCAGGGCAUUGAACACAGACUGAAUGACUCGGUGACGCUUGGAUCAGGUCAGAUCAAAUUCUCAAGCAAACAGAUGGCUGGGGAUAUUCAGUAGCAACGUGAAGAGAGAGAGGAACAAUUCACAUUUCAAGUGACCCUUCCUCAGAAACGGCCUGUUCUGAAGGAACUUUCCCGCAGAAAUCAUUGGAUUGAAAGCUUCUGGCAACAAAUGGCCACAAACCGAUCAAAGGUGAAAGUGACGGUGAACCAGACAGAGCAGUCAGUGGCUGCAUAAAGCAGGACGGCGUGGAUAUUACACACGGGGACGGAGUACAGGAAAUCAAACUGUUCCCGAUAAACAAUGGGAAUGUGUCUCAGGAUCAGGUCGAGGAUAAUGACCAGGAGAUCCGCCGCUGCCAUGGCCCCCAGGGAAUAUAAACAUAUCUUCAAAUCGACCGAGACCAUUUUCUGCUGAGGGUACGGCUCUGUGUACGACAGCAGCAAUGAUGCACCGACAUGGAACAGGGAAUGUGAUGGAGACAUAGUUUGGACAAUGUACAAGGAGACCUCACAUGGUCCAGUUUGGGAGAGAAUGACAUUAUUGUGUGAUUCAACUCAGAGAGGAAGACAAUGUCAUCUGCCGGAGAAGAAACGGCCUAUUGCGCACUCUCUCCAUCAUUAUUCCUCAUCACAGUAACGUGUACGAGCUAAAACAAAACUCUACUGUUAUUGUUACCAUUCUUAUUUUUAUAGAAUCCGUGCAGUGCGGAAACGAGCCCUUCGGCCCAACAAGUCCAUACUAACCCUCCAAAGAGUAACCUUCCCAUGCCCUCACAGUUACCACUGACUAGUGCACCUAAAGUAGAAAUCUCUGAACACUAUGGGCUAUUUGACCAAUCCACUUGAAUUAUACAGCUUUGGAACGGGAGCAUCCAUGAGAAGCUCACACAGACAAGGGGAGAAGAUGCAAAUUCCACGCAGAUAGUCGCCCAAGGCUGGAAUUGAACUCAUGCUCCUGAUGCUGUGAUGGAACAGUGCGAACUACUGAGCCACUGUGCUAACCUGGAACCUCCUGCCAGCCUAAUGCAAAGGGAAUUCAGCAAAAUCCAACUCUCCCAGGAUAAAAUCCCAUUGCUAGCAGCUGUGUGAGUAGAAUAUCUUCAGAAGCAGAAUCACAUUUUGGACAAUCUCUCAAUUUUUCAAUUUGUCAUGAGUUCCAAUAAUAUCUGGACAAGGUUCUUUCAACGUGAAGUUGCAGAGAUUUUGUUUAGUGAGUGUGUGUGCGCGUGUGCGUAUCAAUGUUUUUUCAUCAUAGUUGGAGUAACAUUGCUCUGGAUCAUAAACGUGCUAUUUGAGCAGAUUAAAGAAA